rnacentral:rRNA from 1 species
AACGAACGCUGGCGGCAUGCCUAACACAUGCAAGUCGAACGAGACCUUCGGGUCUAGUGGCGCACGGGUGCGUAACGCGUGGGAACCUGCCCUUAGGUUCGGAAUAACUCCCCGAAAGGGGUGCUAAUACCGGAGAAUGUCUUCGGACCAAAGAUUUAUCGCCUUUGGAUGGGCCCGCGUUGGAUUAGCUAGUUGGGAGCGUAAAAGCCUACCAAGGAGACGAUCAAUAGCUGGUCUGAGAGGAUGAGCAGCCACAUUGGGACUGCGACACGGCCCAGCCUCCUACGGGACGCAGCAGGCGGCGAUAUUGCACAAUGGCGGAGACCCUUAUGCAGCGUCUCCCCGUGAAGGAAGAAGGGUUUCGGAUUGUAAACUCCUCGCGUUCCGGCCGAUAAGCACGGGAACUAACAAGAAACCACCGGCUAACUACGCC